CUUGAGGACACACAGGAAUUCCAUCUAGUCACUUUCAUCAUAUUGUCACCCUAGUUUAUGCGCUAUUCCGUAAGUGACUAGAUGGAAUUCCUGUGUGUCCUCAAGAAC
rnacentral:pre_miRNA from 1 species